GGGGGUAUAGCUCAGUGGUAGAGUGUUUGACUGCAGUUUAAGUGGUCCUUAGUUCAAAUCCAAGUGCCCCCU